UACGUAGGGUGCGAGCGUUAAUCGGAAUUACUGGGCGUAAAGUGUGCGCAGGCGGCCGAGCGAGUCGAGUGUGAAAGCCCCGAGCUUAACUUGGGAACUGCGCUCGAAACUACUUGGCUAGAGUGUGGCAGAGGGAGGUGGAAUUCCACGUGUAGCGGUGAAAUGCGUAGAGAUGUGGAGGAACACCGAUGGCGAAGGCAGCCUCCUGGGCCAACACUGACGCUCAUGCACGAAAGCGUGGGGAGCAAACAGG
rnacentral:rRNA from 1 species